GAUGAACGCUGGCGGCGUGCCUAAUACAUGCAAGUCGAGCGAACGGACGAGAAGCUUGCUUCUCUGAUGUUAGCGGCGGACGGGUGAGUAACACGUGGAUAACCUACUUAUAAGACUGGGAUAACUUCGGGAAACCGGAGCUAAUACCGGAUAAUAUUUUGAACCGCAUGGUUCAAAAGUGAAAGACGGUCUUGCUGUCACUUAUAGAUGGAUCCGCGCUGCAUUAGCUAGUUGGUAAGGUAACGGCUUACCAAGGCAACGAUGCAUAGCCGACCUGAGAGGGUGAUCGGCCACACUGGAACUGAGACACGGUCCAGACUCCUACGGGAGGCAGCAGUAGGGAAUCUUCCGCAAUGGGCGAAAGCCUGACGGAGCAACGCCGCGUGAGUGAUGAAGGUCUUCGGAUCGUAAAACUCCGUUAUUAGGGAAGAACAUAUGUGUAAGUAACUGUGCACAUCUUGACGGUACCUAAUCAGAAAGCCACGGCUAACUACGUG
rnacentral:rRNA from 1 species